GGAAGUCGGCGAACCACCAGGGCUCCAAGCCGCCCAGCGACGCGCCGCCCAGGCUCUCCGAGUCCUCCGAGUCAGACGGCGACGGCUCGAGGUCCAGGUCAUGAUAAUCCAGUGAACCACUUCAACCUCAAACCCUGCUCUGCAAACCACUAGUACCUGAACAGACCGUGAUCUGCAAUGAGGGGAAGACUUGAGGGUUGUGGGGGCCUGAGGCUUGUACAAUGUGGAGGGUUGUCUUUAAGAAAAAAAAAGAAGAAGAAGAAGAAGAAGAAGAAGAAAAGAACACGAAAUUAUGAAUACAAGAAUACAAGAUUGGGAAACCCAAGGUCAGAAGCGACACCACCUCACCAGUCACGGUACGGGGACAGGCAAUACCAGGAUGGGAACUGAGCACACAGGUGUCCCAGUGUUGCCGUCCCAGGGCCCCGGGCUCACCGAGGAAGG